rnacentral:tRNA from 1 species
CUUUAAUAGUUUAAUAAAAAUAUUACCCUUGUAAGUUAAUGAUGACCCUCUCUUAAAGUA